rnacentral:rRNA from 1 species
UACGGAGGGUGCAAGCGUUGUCCGGAAUCACUGGGCGUAAAGGGCGCGUAGGUGGCGGCGGGCAGUCAACGGUGAAAGUUCGGGCUCAACCCUGCGUCGGCCAUGAAUACUGCCGCGGCUGGAGCACUGUAGAGGCAGGCGGAAUUCCGGGUGUAGCGGUGGAAUGGCGUAGAGAUCCGGAAGAACACCGGUGGCGAAGGCGGCCUGCUGGGCA